GAUGAAGAACGUAGCGAAAUGCGAUAAGUAGUGUGAAUUGCAGAAUUCAGUGAAUCAUCGAAUCUUUGAACGCACAUUGCGCCCCAUGGUAUUCCGUGGGGCACGCCUGUUCGAGCGUCAUUUACCCCCUCAAGCUCCGCUUGGUGUUGGGCGUCUGUCCCGCUUCGCGCGCGGACUCGCCCCAAAGGUAUUGGCAGCGGUCGUGCCAGCUUCUCGCGCAGCACAUUGCGCUUCUCGAGGCACCGGUGGGCCCGCGUCCAUCAAGCUCACCCCCCCAGUUUGACCUCGGAUCAGGUAGGGAUACCCGCUGAACUUAAGCAUAUCAAUAAGCGGAGA
rnacentral:misc_RNA from 1 species